rnacentral:rRNA from 1 species
UACGUAGGUGGCAAGCGUUGUCCGGAUUUCCUGGGCGUAAAGAGCGCGCAGGCGGUCGUUCAAGUCGCGUGUGAAAGCCCCCGGCUCAACUGGGGAGGGUCACGCGAUACUGAUCGACUGGAAGGCAGGAGAGGGUAGUGGAAUUCCCGGUGUAGUGGUGAAAUGCGUAGAUAUCGGGAGGAACACCAGUGGUGAAGGCGACUACCUGGCCUGUUCUUGACGCUGAGGCGCGAAAGCUAGGGGAGCAAACGGG